rnacentral:rRNA from 1 species
AUUGAACGCUGGCGGCAGGCCUAACACAUGCAAGUCGAGCGGAUGAAGGGAGCUUGCUCCUGGAUUCAGCGGCGGACGGGUGAGUAAUGCCUAGGAAUCUGCCUGGUAGUGGGGGAUAACGUCCGGAAACGGGCGCUAAUACCGCAUACGUCCUGAGGGAGAAAGUGGGGGAUCUUCGGACCUCACGCUAUCAGAUGAGCCUAGGUCGGAUUCGCUAGUUGGUGGGGUAAAGGCCUACCAAGGCGACGAUCCGUAACUGGUCUGAGAGGAUGAUCAGGCACACUGGAACUGAGACACGGUCCAGACUCCUACGGGAGGCAGCAGUGGCGAAUAUUGGACAAUGGGCGAAAGCCUGAUCCAGCCAUGCCGCGUGUGUGAAGAAGGUCUUCGGAUUGUAAAGCACUUUAAGUUGGGAGGAGGGGCAGUAAGUUAAUACCUUGCUGUUUUGACGUUACCAACAGAAUAAGCACCGGCUAACUUCGUG